rnacentral:rRNA from 1 species
ACUCCUACGGGAGGCAGCAGUAGGGAAUCUUCGGCAAUGGGGGCAACCCUGACCGAGCAACGCCGCGUGAGUGAAGAAGGUUUUCGGAUCGUAAAGCUCUGUUGUAAGAGAAGAACGUGUGUGAGAGUGGAAAGUUCACACAGUGACGGUAACUUACCAGAAAGGGACGGCUAACUACGUGCCAGCAGCCGGGUAAU